GUACACUCCUGCGGGAGGCAGCAGUGGGGAAUUUUGGACAAUGGGCGAAAGCCUGAUCCAGCCAUGCCGCGUGCAGGAUGAAGGCCUUCGGGUUUUAAACUGCUUUUGUACGGAACGAAACGGCCUUUUCUAAUAAAGAGGGCUAAUGACGGUACCGUAAGAAUAAGCACCGGCUAACUACGUGCCAGCAGCCGCGGUAAUAAGUAGGGUGCAAGCGUGAAUCGGAAUUACUGGGCGUAAAGCGUGCGCAGGCGGUUAUGUAAGACAGUUGUGAAAUCCCCGGGCUCAACCUGGGAACUGCAUCUGUGACUGCAUAGCUAGAGUACGAUAGAGGGGGAUGGAAUUCCGCGUGUAGCAGUGAAAUGCGUAGAUAUGCGGAGGAACACCGAUGGCGAAGGCAAUCCCCUGGACCUGUACUGACGCUCAUGCACGAAAGCGUGGGGAGCAAACAGGAAUAGAAACCCGGGUAGUCCCA
rnacentral:rRNA from 1 species